rnacentral:rRNA from 1 species
UUGAACGCUGGCGGCAUGCCUUACACAUGCAAGUCGAACGGCAGCACGGGGGCGACCCUGGUGGCGAGUGGCGAACGGGUGAGUAACGCAUCGGAACGUACCCGGAAGUGGGGGAUAACGUAGCGAAAGUUACGCUAAUACCGCAUAUUCUGUGAGCAGGAAAGAGGGGGAUCGCAAGACCUCUCGCUUCCGGAGCGGCCGAUGUCGGAUUAGCUAGUUGGCGGGGUAAAGGCCCACCAAGGCGACGAUCCGUAGCGGGUCUGAGAGGAUGAUCCGCCACACUGGGACUGAGACACGGCCCAGACUCCUACGGGAGGCAGCAGUGGGGAAUUUUGGACAAUGGGGGCAACCCUGAUCCAGCAACGCCGCGUGAAUGAAGAAGGCCUUAGGGUUGUAAAGUUCUUUUGUCAGGGAAGAAAGUUUCUGUGCUAAUACCAUAGAACGAUGACGGUACCUGAAGAAUAAGCACCGGCUAACUACGU